UACGUAGGGAGCAAGCGUUGUCCGGAAUCAUUGGGCGUAAAGCGCGCGUAGGCGGCCCGAUAAGUCCGCUGUAAAAGUCAACGGCUCAACUGUUGAAAGCCGGUGGAUACUGUCGGGCUAGAGUACGGAAGAGGCAAGUGGAAUUCCUGGUGUAGCGGUGAAAUGCGUAGAUAUCAGGAGGAACACCUGUGGCGAAAGCGGCUCACUGGACCACAACUGACGCUGAGGCGCGAAAGCUAGGGGAGCAAACAGG
rnacentral:rRNA from 1 species